UUUUUUUUUUUUUUUUUUUUUUUUUUUUUUUUCUCCAAGUGGG
rnacentral:ribozyme from 1 species